UACAGAGGUCUCGAGCGUUGUUCGGAUUCAUUGGGCGUAAAGGGUGCGUAGGUGGCACUGUAAGUCGGGUGUGAAAUCCUGGGGCUUAACCCCGGAACUGCAUUCGAUACUGCAGUGCUUGAGGACUGGAGAGGAGACUGGAAUUCAUGGUGUAGCAGUGAAAUGCGUAGAGAUCAUGAGGAAGACCAGUGGCGAAGGCGGGUCUCUGGACAGUUCCUGACACUGAGGCACGAAGGCCAGGGGAGCAAACGGG
rnacentral:rRNA from 2 species